UACAGAGGGGGCAAGCGUUAUUCGGAAUUAUUGGGCGUAAAGGGCGCGUAGGCGGCUUGGCAAGUGGAUGGUGAAAUCCCUCGGCUUAACCGGGGAACUGCGUCCGAUACUGGAUGGCUUGAGUUUGGGAGAGGGAUGCGGAAUUCCAGGUGUAGCGGUGAAAUGCGUAGAUAUCUGGAGGAACACCGGUGGCGAAGGCGGCAUCCUGGACCAACACUGACGCUGAUGAGCGAAAGCCAGGGGAGCAAACGGG
rnacentral:rRNA from 1 species